UGGGGAAUUUUGGACAAUGGGCGAAAGCCUGAUCCAGCCAUGCCGCGUGAGUGAAGAAGGCCUUCGGGUUGUAAAGCUCUUUUAGUCGGAAAGAAAGAGUUGCAAUGAAUAAUUGUGAUUUAUGACGGUACCGACAGAAAAAGCACCGGCUAACUACGUGCCAGCAGCCGCGGUAAUACGUAGGGUGCGAGCGUUAAUCGGAAUUACUGGGCGUAAAGGGUGCGCAGGCGGUCUUGCAAGUCAGAUGUGAAAGCCCCGGGCUUAACCUGGGAAUUGCGUUUGAAACUACAAGGCUAGAGUGCAGCAGAGGGGAGUGGAAUUCCAUGUGUAGCAGUGAAAUGCGUAGAGAUGUGGAAGAACACCGAUGGCGAAGGCAGCUCCCUGGGUUGACACUGACGCUCAUGCACGAAAGCGUGGGGAGCAAACAGGAUUAGAUACCCGUGUAGUCCCUGAGCGGGCUGGCAAGGCGCAU
rnacentral:rRNA from 1 species